UGACCUCAAAUCGGGUGAGA
rnacentral:rRNA from 3 species